rnacentral:rRNA from 1 species
AAUAAACGCUGGCGGCGUGCCUAACACAUGCAAGUCGAGCGAGAAAGCUCCUUCGGGAGUAAGUACAGCGGCGAACGGGUGAGCAACGCGUGAGAAUCUACCCUUCAGUGAAGAAUACCUCCGAGAAAUCGGGGCUAAUACUGCAUACGUCCCUUCGGGGAGAAAGAUGGCCUCUUUGCUAUCGUUGAAGGAUGAGCUUGCGUACUAUUAGCUAGUUGGCGGAGUAAAAGCCCACCAAGGCUAUGAUGGUUAACCGGCCUGAGAGGGUGUACGGUCA